rnacentral:rRNA from 1 species
AUGGCUGUCGUCAGCUCGUGUCGUGAGAUGUUCGGUUAAGUCCGGCAACGAGCGCAACCCACAUCUUUAGUUGCCAGCAGUUCGGCUGGGCACUCUAAAGAAACUGCCCGUGAUAAGCGGGAGGAAGGUGUGGAUGACGUCAAGUCCUCAUGGCCCUUACGGGUUGGGCUACACACGUGCUACAAUGGCAUCUACAGUGGGUUAAUCCCCAAAAGAUGUCUCAGUUCGGAUUGUUCUCUGCAACUCGAGAGCAUGAAGUCGGAAUCGCUAGUAAUCGCGUAACAGCAUGACGCGGUGAAUACGUUCCCGGGCCUUGUACACACCGCCCGU